UACGGGGGGGGCGAAGCGUUGUUCGGAAUUACUGGGCGUAAAGGGCUCGUAGGCGGCCAACUAAGUCGGAUGUGAAAUCCCCAGGCUUAACCUGGGAACUGCAUCCGAUACUGGAUGGCUUGAAUCCGGGAGAGGGAUGCAGAAUUCCAGGUGUAGCGGUGAAAUGCGUAGAUAUCUGGAGGAAUACCGGUGGCGAAGGCGGCAUCCUGGACCGGCAUUGACGCUGAUGAGCGAAAGCUAGGGGAGCAAACGGG
rnacentral:rRNA from 1 species